rnacentral:rRNA from 1 species
AUUGAACGCUGGCGGCAGGCUUAACACAUGCAAGUCGAGCGGAGAUGAGGUGCUUGCACCUUAUCUUAGCGGCGGACGGGUGAGUAAUGCUUAGGAAUCUGCCUAUUAGUGGGGGACAACAUUCCGAAAGGAAUGCUAAUACCGCAUACGCCCUACGGGGGAAAGCAGGGGAUCUUCGGACCUUGCGCUAAUAGAUGAGCCUAAGUCGGAUUAGCUAGUUGGUGGGGUAAAGGCCUACCAAGGCGACGAUCUGUAGCGGGUCUGAGAGGAUGAUCCGCCACACUGGGACUGAGACACGGCCCAGACUCCUACGGGAGGUAGCAGUGGGGAAUAUUGGACAAUGGGCGGAAGCCUGAUCCAGCCAUGCCGCGUGUGUGAAGAAGGCCUUUUGGUUGUAAAGCACUUUAAGCGAGGAGGAGGCUACCUGGAUUAAUACUCUAGGAUAGUGGACGUUACUCGCAGAAUAAGCACCGGCUAACUCUGUGCCAGCCGCCGCAGUAAGAC